CCGCGGUAAUACGUAGGGCGCGAGCGUUGUCCGGAAUUAUUGGGCGUAAAGAGCUUGUAGGCGGUUUGUCGCGUCUGCUGUGAAAGGCCGGAGCUUAACUCCGUGUAUUGCAGUGGGUACGGGCAGACUAGAGUGCAGUAGGGGAGACUGGAAUUCCUGGUGUAGCGGUGGAAUGCGCAGAUAUCAGGAGGAACACCGAUGGCGAAGGCAGGUCUCUGGGCUGUAACUGACGCUGAGAAGCGAAAGCAUGGGGAGCGAACAGGAUUAGAUACCCUGGUAGUCCAUGCCGUAAACGUUGGGCACUAGGUGUGGGGAACAUUCCACGUUUUCCGCGCCGUAGCUAACGCAUUAAGUGCCCCGCCUGGGGAGUACGGCCGCAAGGCUAAAACUCAAAGAAAUUGACGGGGGCCCGCACAAGCGGCGGAGCAUGCGGAUUAAUUCGAUGCAACGCGAAGAACCUUACCAAGGCUUGACAUAUACUGGACCGCAUCAGAGAUGGUGUUUCCCUUCGGGGCUGGUAUACAGGUGGUGCAUGGUUGUCGUCAGCUCGUGUCGUGAGAUGUUGGGUUAAGUCCCGCAACGAGCGCAACCCUCGUUCUAUGUUGCCAGCACGUUAUGGUGGGGACUCAUAGGAGACUGCCGGGGUCAACUCGGAGGAAGGUGGGGAUGACGUCAAAUCAUCAUGCCCCUUAUGUCUUGGGCUUCACGCAUGCUACAAUGGCCGGUACAGAGGGUUGCGAUACUGUGAGGUGGAGCUAAUCCCUAAAAGCCGGUCUCAGUUCGGAUUGGGGUCUGCAACUCGACCCCAUGAAGUCGGAGUCGCUAGUAAUCGCAGAUCAGCAACGCUGCGGUGAAUACGUUCCCGGGCCUUGUACACACCGCCCGUCAAGUCACGAAAGUUGGUAACACCCAAAGCCGGUGGCCUAACCCUUUUGGGAGGGAGCCGUCUAAGGUGGGAUUGGCGAUUGGGACUAAGUCGUAACAAGGUAGCCGUACCGGAAGGUGCGGCUG
rnacentral:rRNA from 1 species